rnacentral:rRNA from 1 species
UGAUCAUGGCUCAGGACGAACGCUGGCGGCGUGCUUAACACAUGCAAGUCGAACGAUGAAGCCUAGCUUGCUAGGUGGAUUAGUGGCGAACGGGUGAGUAAUACGUGAGUGACCUACCUUUGACUCUGGGAUAAGCCUGGGAAACUGGGUCUAAUACCGGAUACGACCAAUCUCCGCAUGGGGUGUUGGUGGAAAGCGUUAUGGAGUGGUUUUAGAUGGGCUCACGGCCUAUCAGCUUGUUGGUGAGGUAAUGGCUUACCAAGGCGACGACGGGUAGCCGGCCUGAGAGGGUGACCGGCCACACUGGGACUGAGACACGGCCCAGACUCCUACGGGAGGCAGCAGUGGGGAAUAUUGCACAAUGGGCGCAAGCCUGAUGCAGCGACGCCGCGUGAGGGAUGACGGCCUUCGGGUUGUAAACCUCUGUUAGCAUCGAAGAAGCGAAAGUGACGGUAGGUGCAGAGAAAGCGCCGGCUAACUACGUGCCAGCAGCCGCGGUAAUACGUAGGGCGCGAGCGUUGUCCGGAAUUAUUGGGCGUAAAGAGCUUGUAGGCGGUUGGUCGCGUCUGCUGUGAAAGGCUGGGGCUUAACCCUGGUUUUGCAGUGGGUACGGGCUAACUAGAGUGCAGUAGGGGAGACUGGAAUUCCUGGUGUAGCGGGGGAAUGCGCAGAUAUCAGGAGGAACACCGAUGGCGAAGGCAGGUCUCUGGGCUGUAACUGACGCUGAGAAGCGAAAGCAUGGGAGCGAACAGGAUUAGAUACCCUGGUAGUCCAUGCCGUAAACGUUGGGCACUAGGUGUGGGGGACAUUCCACGUUUUCCGCGCCGUAGCUAACGCAUUAAGUGCCCCGCCUGGGGAGUACGGCCGCAAGGCUAAAACUCAAAGAAAUGGACGGGGGCCCGCACAAGCGGCGGAGCAUGCGGAUUAAUUCGAUGCAACGCGAAGAACCUUACCAAGGCUUGACAUAUACUGGACUGCGUCAGAGAUGGCGUUUCCCUUCGGGGCUGGUAUACAGGUGGUGCAUGGUUGUCGUCAGCUCGUGUCGUGAGAUGUUGGGUUAAGUCCCGCAACGAGCGCAACCCUCGUUCUAUGUUGCCAGCACGUGAUGGUGGGGACUCAUAGGAGACUGCCGGGGUCAACUCGGAGGAAGGUGGGGAUGACGUCAAAUCAUCAUGCCCCUUAUGUCUUGGGCUUCACGCAUGCUACAAUGGCCGGUACAGAGGGUUGCGAUACUGUGAGGUGGAGCUAAUCCCUAAAAGCCGGUCUCAGUUCGGAUUGGGGUCUGGAACUGGCCCCCAGAAAUUGGGGGUGGUUAGAAAUGGCAAAUCAGAAAGGUUGCGGGGAAUACGUUCCGGGCCCUUGUACACACCCCCCGU